rnacentral:lncRNA from 1 species
CGCUCCCCUCGCUCCACCUCCCGCGUAGCCUGCGGGCCCCUGGCGGCCCAGGGCAUGGGGCAGAGACGCCAUGCCGGCUGAUACACACGCCCGGAGGAGGUGCGGCCGGCGGGGGACAGGGAAAGAGAUCACAGCGAAGACCCAGAAGAAACAAAAGGCAAGCGAAUGUAAGAGCUUCACCACCUUCCCACUCCAGGACGGUGGACAACAAGAGGUUUGAAAGCUGUGAUGUCCUCACUGUCUUCCGUCCCUCUCACGGAAUGAAAAGUCGUUUUUGCCAGAAUAUUAUACCUGCAAGAUCUCACGGGGAG